rnacentral:rRNA from 1 species
AUUGAACGCUGGCGGCAUGCUUUACACAUGCAAGUCGAACGGUAACAGGGUGCUUGCACCGCUGACGAGUGGCGAACGGGUGAGUAAUGCGUCGGAACGUGCCGAGUAGUGGGGGAUAACGCAGUGAAAGUUGUGCUAAUACCGCAUACGUACUGAGGUAGAAAGUGGGGGACCUCCGGGCCUCACGCUAUUCGAGCGGCCGACGUCUGAUUAGCUAGUAGGUGAGGUAAAGGCUCACCUAGGCGACGAUCAGUAGCGGGUCUGAGAGGAUGAUCCGCCACACUGGGACAGAGACACGGCCCAGACUCCUACGGGAGGCAGCAGUGGGGAAUUUUGGACAAUGGGCGAAAGCCUGAUCCAGCCAUGCCGCGUGUCUGAAGAAGGCCUUCGGGUUGUAAAGGACUUUUGUCAGGGAGGAAAUCCCUAGCGUUAAUACCGCUGGGGGAUGACAGUACCUGAAGAAUAAGCACCGGCUAACUACGUGCCAGCCGCCGCCGUAAGAC